CGUGUAGGCGGUCGGGUAAGUCAGAUGUGAAAGCCUUCCGCUUAACGGAAGAAGUGCAUUUGAAACUGCUCGGCUGGAGUACGGGAGAGGAGAGUGGAAUUCCCGGUGUAGAGGUGAAAUUCGUAGAUAUCGGGAGGAACACCAGUGGCGAAGGCGGCUCUCUGGUCCGAUACUGACGCUGAGACGCGAAAGCGUGGGGAGCAAACAGGAUUAGAUACCCUGGUAGUCCACGCCGUAAACGAUGGGCACUAGGUGUAGGAGGUAUUGACCCCUUCUGUGCCGAAGUUAACGCAUUAAGUGCCCCGCCUGGGGAGUACGGCCGCAAGGCUAAA
rnacentral:rRNA from 1 species